rnacentral:lncRNA from 1 species
UCAAAGAGGGCUCGAUGUUUCAAGAUGUGAAGUUUAGAUAAUUGAAUAAAAAUUGAAGGAAAACGAUCGGUUUCAAAGAAUUUCAUACCGAUCAUUCAAUAACUGUUAUUCGAAGCAAAAUGGAAAUCGAAGAGUUGAACUCUCGAUAGGUGGGAUUUCUCAAAUAAUCACAAGAUUAACAUAAUCCAAUCAAUUUCAAAUAACGAUAAUAAAAAAUGAAAACGAAUAGAUCAAUUCAAUGAAAGGGGCAGAAUUCAAGUACUCGAGCGAUACAAUUACCCGAGUUUAUCAUAUUCCCAGAAAAGGUCAAGCAAGAGAACCCUCACCUUGGUCCAAUCAAGAGUACUCGUCGAUCACGGUUCCUCGAUCUCAAAACCUAAGCAAUAUUUAAACUAUAAGACACCAAAUUAUUUAUUAAAAUGAAAUAAUAUACACUCUACGUUUCCUAGCUUUAUAUGUUCUUAAGGUCGAAUAAUUCACUUACCAAUUCUAAAUUAAUCUAACCCCGUAACUAACAUCAAAACUUACCACAUAACCAUCGCGUUUAUGUUAACAGGACGAAGACCAAUAAAAUAUGUUCAUAUAUGACGACUUUUUUUUUUUUAACAUAAUAAUAAAACGUAUGUGCUGCCACAGUUUUAAAAAUUCAUAACAAAUUCCACGUUUAUCCAAAUAGCUCAUGUGAUAUACCGAAUGAAAGCUAACAAAUAAUACUACGAGUUCACAGAAGACUUUCACCCCAGAUUCUGAACCAAAAAUAGCAGAAUUUCCAAAAACCAGCACGUAACAGUACUGCCGAACAUUGAAAAUUCAUUUCUGGUACAACUUAUUUGAAAACUAAUAACAUGCUAUACAUAUCUCGAAACAGAACAAAUUAUAUAUCAAAUUAAAGCCAAGAACAAUAUCUAAGAGUUUAAUGAAGAAACCAUUUUCAAAUUAUGAGCAUAACAUAGUUGAAACAGCCCCCGAACAGGUUAAUAAAAACUGCCAGCAUUUACAAAAUCCUUUUUCUGGCAGUAUUUUUGAAAAAUUGUAAUAAUUCGAAAUGUUAUCCAAAUUUAACAAAUAGUAUAUGAAAUCGAACGUAACGAAUUCAUCUACAAAUGGACAGAAGACAUCAAACUCAAAUUAUAACUCGAAUAUACAGAAAACAGCCCGAAAAGAAUAAUCAUACGAGCUGCCAGAAUUGACAGUUUCAACGCCCAUAUUCCUCCGUUCAAAAAGCCUAUAGAACUCAAUCAUAUGGAACGAGCUUCAACAUAUAAUUAACGUAUUCCAGAAAAUCUAUGAUGUUUGAGAAGAAACGAUUUUAAAAUUCGAAUUCCAAAGCUCCCAAAUUCUGUUCCGAAAAUCAGAGUAACAACUAAAGUUAUAUUUUCGAAAAUUCCUUUGAACCUACUGUAGAGUCAAAAAUCAGUUUCAACAAGGGUUCUAAAAAUUGGGGAAAAUCAAUCAUUCGAACAAUAUUCAGCCUAUCCUACAAUUUUGAUGAAGAAAUAAAUCCGAAAUUUCAAUUCUAAAUACCUCUAAUUAAAUCCGAAAGGUUUUAGGAUCAGCUGAACUUCGCCGUCGGAUCACAACUAUCACCACCGGAGAAACAAGCCGGAAAUUUCCACCAAAUCGAAGCUUAUACAGAGGGCUUUCGAGCCCUAUACCCCGCUCGCCAAAACUCCGCCGGAAAGAUCGUCAAGUCACCAUCUUUGUCUCCGUCGAUUAAACCCUGGCUGCCUCGUAUUUUCUUGACUUCUCUCUAUGGUUUGUGAUAGAAGAUAUUUCUUGGGAUUAUGGGGAGGUUUUUCUUGCUGAGAUUAAGUGGAAGAUGGUGUGGAAUUUAUAUGCAGAAGGGGGGUUUUUAAAGAAGAUUGAUGAUCGGAUGAAGAUGAAGGGGAAGAUGACUCGUCGAUUAUAAUACGUGUCUUCUCCUUAAAUUUUACUUAAUCUUAUAAUUAUCCUCUUAAACGUCAGAUCCUUGCUGCCUAAGUCUAAAUAUAUAGAAUCAUUAUCUGCCUUAACUAUUCCUUAAUACUAUAUCAGCCCUUGUAAAUUACCUUAUUUACUCUUUUUCCCCAACUAUUUUUAUCAAUAACAUCUAAACCAUAUAAAUUCACCAUAUUACUAUAUUACCAUCAUUAAUGAAUAAACUUCAAUAAUAUAAAUGUAUAAACUAUUAUUAUAGAACAUAAUAAAAAUUAAGGGGUGUUACACUCUCCCCCUGUUAAAGAAAUCUGGUCCCCAGAUUUACACAUCGUUAAUAUUACCUGUGUGAAAAAGUUAAGGGUAAUGAGAUUAACCAAUAGGCUACACGACCUAUACGUUCACAAAUUUCAAAAGGUCCUAUAUAAUAACGUGGACUAAGCUUCCCUCCUUUUCCAAUACGUUUGAAUCCUUUUCUUGGCGACACUUUGAGAAACACCAUAUUGCCAACUUCAAACUUGAUGUUCUUUCUACGCCCAUUGCUCUAUUGCCGAUCUUGUGAGGCUUUCAUCCGUCGCUUGAUGAUAUGCACUUUAUCAAUAGCAUCUUGUAUUAGUUCCGACCUUAGCGCUCUUUCUUGACCGUCUUUGGUUACUCUCCAUCUAUCAAGUUCCCAAUGCAAUAGAGAUCGACUUACCAUAUAGCGCCUCAUAUGGUGCCCACUUGUAGUACGCGAAUUCGAUUUACGUAACUUUCUCUAUAAUCCAUGGCACAUGCUCUCAAACAUGUCCUCCAAAAAUCCAAUCACUCCCUUUGAUUGCCCAUUCGUUUGAGGAUGUGCAAUAUAACUAAAUGGAAGUUGUUCCCACGUUUUUUUUCUUAUGCAAUCUAAUUGGGCAUGGUGCUUAUGCAACCAAUCCAUCCCCAAAAUAAGAUCAUAACCUAUGAUUAGAAGAUUUGCACAGUCUUCUUUACUCUCUAACUCGAUGGCACAAGCUCUACACAUACUAUAUUAGUAAGUAUGUUGGAGCCUAUUGCAGUGCUUACCUCGAAAUUAUAAGGUAAUGAUUAGCCUUCUAAAACUAACUCAUUUGCGAAAGACGAUACGAUAAACAAAUGAGUUGUUCCGGGACUAAAUGAGGUUUACCGCAUUUACCAAGUAGACAAACAUUACCUUCUACGACAGCGGUUGGCUCGGCAGUUUCGUCCACCCCAGCAAGUGCAUAAGCGCGGGCAGGAAUUUUGGCCUUGCUUCGCUGCUCCAUUGGAGCCUUUCCUUUUUGUCCUUGUGGAAUAUGAAGAGAUUCUUGUCUCCUACGACAAUCACGUGCGAUAUGAUCAGCACUUCCACAAAGAACACACAAUCCUUUCUUCCUUCGACAAUCAUUUUCUUCAUGAUUGGAGAGUCCGCAAAAUCCACACUUCCUCUGCAUCACUGGAUGGGGGGGAGCGCCGCUCUGAUGAUUUGACACUAGAUUACGAUUUGUAAAACGCUCUUGAUCCAUUCUUGGAUAUUUCGGAUCCGAAAAGGGAUUUCGAUUUGAAUUUCCUCUCAAGUUUGUAAAUUUAGUUCUCUUCGCUCGCUCUUCAAAGUGGGUCAACUCUCGCAUUUCCGACUCGAUCUGCAUCGCCUUAUUAAUCGUCGCGCUAUAAUUUGUUGCAUCCGAAGAAAUUAUAGCCCAACGAAGUUCUAAUUUUAAUCCUUCAAUGAAUUUGCGUACUUUGCGAGUGGAGCAUAGCGAAUUAGAUAAUUGAAACGAGCUUCGUACUGUGCCACCGUCAUUGUGCCUUGAGUAAGAUUCAUAAAGUCCCUCUCUCUAGCAUUUUUCACCACUUGUGGUAUGAACUUCUCAUUGAAUUCUUGGACGAAGUUAGCCCAAGUUCGAGCAUUGUUGUUUUGAGCCCACUUCUGAUUCACUACACGCCACCAAUGACAUGCAGUUUCUUCUAGCUGGAAAGCGGCAUAACUAACCUUUUGAGAGUCAGAAUAGUUAGUAAUUUCAAAAAUCUUUUCCAGCUCGUUAAGCCAAUUUUCUGCCUUGCGAUCAUCAGGCUCGCCUACGAAUUUCGGUGGUCGAAAUCGAAGAAAUCUCUCAAACCUUUGGUCCUCCGUAGGCAUCGCAUGUUCGGCCAUUGGCACGCCCGUCUGUGGUGGUUGUUGACAGAAUUGCAUAAAUUGUUGCCACAUAGUUAGCAUUGAUUGUACUUCUGGCGUUGUUGCCUCUCGAGGAACUUGUGGUGCUUCGGUCGCUUCGUGAGUCUUAGUAUUAUUUGGUUCCAUCAUGGUUUCAUCGUCUUCAGGGAUAUGAGACGAACUAUCGUGACGAUUUGGAGAUAUCGCCAAUGAACAUGCUUGAGUUAGGCUCUCGGGAAGUUUCCCCAGAAAAGACAUUCUGGGUCAGGUUAUAGAAGGUCAAGGUCAGGUUAUACAGAGGUUAUACAAGGUCAGGUUUUACAGUUAGUGUCAAUUGACAUGAUAUCAAUUAUGCGCGACACUAACUCGGAUUAAUUCUAGUAUAGGAGUAUAUGUACGAACACGAAAAUAUAUAGAAUAACCUAGAAAAGGUAUCUUUACUAAAUGAUAGUGAUCAUAUAUACUCGAAUACGAGUUUGAUUUACAAGAGUUAAUGAGGUUACUAUAUAUCAGCUCUUAAUACCUAGAUAACAUCGAAUAAAUAGCAUAUAUCGAGGCAUGUGACUAUAACCGUGUGCUUCAAAAGCCCUUAUACACAUAUCUAUGAUAGACAGGCUUUCUUACUACGCAUAAAGAGAACAUCAUAAAUGCAUAUGCUAGAUAAAACAGUCAACUACUGUAGCAAACAUUGUGACGGCUUAUGAGAAGACUACGUAGCCUAACUCGAUCGUAAUCAGAUUCAACAUAGGUGAUAGCGCAUGUAGGUUCAUUAUUAAUCACUAAAAGAGGGAAUAAGUCGAGAUCUACGUCGAACGCAUUCUCCAAAAGGCAUCUAGAUUUGCUAAAUUCGUAAUUUGUGGAAGAGCCUAAACCCUAAGCUCUGAUACCACCUGUGACGCCCGCCUUCUAUGAAGCGUUUGUCAAAAUUACUCUAUUGAAAGAAUCUGUCUAUAUUUUUUUUCUUCUUGAAUAAUACUAAUCAAACUAUAGUUCACAAAAAUACGUACGAUUUAUUUAUUAACAACCUCAUGUCUAGCAAGGUAAAGUACAAAGGUUCCGGACAUUUACAACAGCAGUUUCUAGCUUAUGAGAUUACAAUACUAUAACAUAAAUAAAUUCAAACGCUGAUAUUUAUAAUACAAGACAACGAUUAUUCUUAACUUAAUCGAACCACUAUUUUACAAAUAUAAACAAGGUAGUUACUCGAACGGGAAUUCCUCUGAUGCAUUCAAGCCGCACCUGUGUCUGAGAAUAUGACAGAAUAAAGUAGAGGGAUAAGUCAUAGAAGACUUAGUGAGGUGAAAUAUAAGAAUAACGAGUGACGACAUGAUCUGAGAGAGAGUUCAAUGAUCGAACCAUUAGGUGAUAUCGAAAAUAGAAGCGUUUAACGGUUAUAUUUCGAUUGGAAAUUCAAGAAUAAUAGUAAGAAUGAUCAAUCGAUUUUCCGAUCAAUAGAGAUAAGAAUACACCUACCUUGUGACUCCCGUAGCCAUUUACUACCUUAUUCACCGAUCAGGGAAUGACCCUGUAAUGCAAUGUGGCAUGCCCGGGCGCAUGCCGGUUUAGCCCGAAACCCAACUAACCUCCAGUUGUGUACGGGUCUAAACCUAUGUGGGUACUGUUGGAGAGACUACCCACCGUCGGCCCGAUACCGCCCAGCGGUCACCUCCAAACAGCCCCGGGCCCAUUAAUAUCCAUUGUCCUUGAGGCGUCCCAAAAGGACUUCAUCGGUCAUAUAAGAAGACCAUAUUAUCCGAAUUAUUUCAGGAUUUCAAAGACAAAAGAAUUCCGAAGAAAUGGGAUCGAGUGAAAGGUUUCAAAGAGGGCUCGAUGUUUCAAGAUGUGAAGUUUAGAUAAUUGAAUAAAAAUUGAAGGAAAACGAUCGGUUUCAAAGAAUUUCAUACCGAUCAUUCAAUAACUGUUAUUCGAAGCAAAAUGGAAAUCGAAGAGUUGAACUCUCGAUAGGUGGGAUUUCUCAAAUAAUCACAAGAUUAACAUAAUCCAAUCAAUUUCAAAUAACGAUAAUCAAAAAUGAAAACGAAUAGAUCAAUUCAAUGAAAG